rnacentral:ribozyme from 1 species
UUUUUUUUUUUUUUUUUUUUUUUUUUUUUUUUUUUUUUUUUUUGCUGUUUGUUCUUCUGAAGAAACGGUCA